ACGAACGCUGGCGGCGUGCCUAACACAUGCAAGUCGAACGGGGAUUUGUUUCGGCAGAAUCCUAGUGGCGAACGGGUGAGUAACGCGUAGGCAACCUGCCCUCCGGCCGGGGACAACACUCCGAAAGGGGUGCUAAUACCGGAUACGAAAUCUGUGCCGCAUGGUACGGAUUUGAAAGAUGGCCUCUGUUUAUAAGCUAUCGCCGGGGGAUGGGCCUGCGUCCGAUUAGCUGGUUGGUGGGGUAACGGCCUACCAAGGCGACGAUCGGUAGCCGGUCUGAGAGGAUGAACGGCCACAUUGGGACUGAGACACGGCCCAGACUCCUACGGGAGGCAGCAGUGGGGAAUCUUCCGCAAUGGGCGCAAGCCUGACGGAGCAACGCCGCGUGAGUGAGGAAGUUCUUCGGAACGUAAAGCUCUGUUGUUCCUGACGAACCUCCCUUCUAUCAACAACGGAGGGGACUGACGGUAGGGAACGAGGAAGCCACGGCUAACUACGUGCCAGCAGCAGC
rnacentral:rRNA from 1 species